rnacentral:snoRNA from 1 species
AUGGAUGUGAUGAUUAUUUCCCCAUGUGAUCGACGCUGAACAUACUGUGCGAUUUUUCUCUCUUGAGAAUCCAAGCCAAUUAAUCUGAUCCAU